CCGCCAAGAUUUUGAAGACAUCCGAGUUCCAUUUUUUUUUUCUUUUUCCUUCUUCAAUUUGCAGAGAACUUCUAAGAGAGAGUUUGGAAGAAGAAGAGAAAUUUUACAAGAAUUUUUUAGGUUGAAGAAGAGGAGGAGAACUCAAGCAAAGUGUAUCAAUGGCUGAAUUUUAGUUCAUUCUGCACAUCACUGGUUUUUAAUUCGGUUUGAACUCUUCAAAAGGAAUUAAGAGGGCAGUUGGUUUUCACUCGAAAUCAAGAGGUCUCUUGUUUUUCUUGUAUUUCAGAGUGUAUCUGUAGAGUUAGAAUCUCUAUUUGGUAUGGUUGGAAAGCUUAUUCAAUUUACUACAACUUUCAUGAAGAAAUUGUAAACCAAAAACGACUAAAAAUCAGUUAAAUUGUAGGGACAAGUUAAAGAGGUCGUGUGCGCGCGAUUCUGGAAGUGGUUCUGUUUUGAGGGUUAUAUGUAUUUAUGCACGGGGCAUCAGAUUUAUAUGUCUUCAGGCCAAGAAGAAUUAAACCGAGCUUAUAGACCAAGGAUCUAGCCCAAAACUGUAGAGAUCGACUUCCCGGUGCCUGAUAGACUGCCUUAGUCUGCGGAAGCUUCAUUAUCGAUUGCCAGUUGAGUUGGGCAUAGAGUCUGUUGUGUUGUGGUGUAUAUACACCCUUGUAUGUUAUAGAUACUCCACAGUUUGUAUAAGCUUUAGGAGCUGUAGUUGUGUAAAUUUUGUUGGUUAUAUUUUGAUUAAGGUGUCUUUAGGUUUACUCGUGAAA